rnacentral:rRNA from 1 species
UACGUAGGGUGCAAGCGUUGUCCGGAAUUAUUGGGCGUAAAGAGCGUGUAGGCGGCCCGAUUAGUCCGCUGUGAAAGUCCAGGGCUCAACCCUGGAAUGCCGGUGGAUACUGUCGGGCUAGAGUCCGGAAGGGGCGAGUGGAAUUCCUGGUGUAGCGGUGAAAUGCGCAGAUAUCAGGAGGAACACCGGUGGCGAAGGCGGGACUCUGGGCCGAUACUGACGCUGAGACGCGAAAGCGUGGGGAGCAAACAGG